rnacentral:rRNA from 1 species
AGUGAACGCUGGCGGUAUGCCUAACACAUGCAAGUCGAACGGCAGCACAGUAAGAGCUUGCUCUUACGGGUGGCGAGUGGCGGACGGGUGAGGAAUACAUCGGAAUCUACUUUUUCAUGGGGGAUAACGUAGGGAAACUUACGCUAAUACCGCAUACGACCUACGGGUGAAAGCAGGGGAUCUUCGGACCUUGCGCGAUUGAAUGAGCCGAUGUCGGAUUAGCUAGUUGGCGGGGUAAAGGCCCACCAAGGCGACGAUCCGUAGCUGGUCUGAGAGGAUGAUCAGCCACACUGGAACUGAGACACGGUCCAGACUCCUACGGGAGGCAGCAGUGGGGAAUAUUGGACAAUGGGCGCAAGCCUGAUCCAGCCAUACCGCGUGGGUGAAGAAGGCCUUCGGGUUGUAAAGCCCUUUUGUUGGGAAAGAAAAGCAGCAGGUUAAUACCACGCUGUUCUGACGGUACCCAAAGAAUAAGCACCGGCUAACUUCGUG